AGGAGGACGUGCUCGCUCGCUCGCUCGUUCGUUCAGAAGGUUUGAGUAAAAUCCAUGGCAACCGGUGCUUUCAGAAUGGAGGAUUCCCCCCUAGAUAGAAAUAUUCAAGCUGAGGGGGAAACAACAGUUCACACUGCAUUAUUAAAAGGGGCAACUCAUCCCUGCAUUUUCUGAGACACACAUGCCAAUGCGAGGUAAAUGCUCUGUGUAUAUCAAUAGACUCAAUCAGGUUGUUUGGUUCUCAAAACAUAUAAAACUUAAACCCAUCGUAUACCGGAGGUGUGGUAUCCUGGAUGAGCUACAUUUCAUCCAGCAGAUCUUUGGCUCCAGCUUCCUACAAACGCAUUCAAAGUGAAAUAGUGACCUUCAUGUUGUCCUGAUUAAAGGAUUCUGUGCAUGCCAGGAGAAAAAAGGGCAGUGUAAACAUGUGAUUUUCUGAAGAUUACUGACUGCGGUUUGUCAUUGACUACAUGCCUACCACAAUGAAGAUACUGCAUACAAACCCUGAGAUGUUCCACAACUGAAUGAAAUUCCACUCUUUCUGUGAUCAACUGGAUAAUAACUUUGGAUUGAGUACAGAAGAGCAAUGAUUUGAGAAUCCUGUUACGAGGCUUUGUCGGAGGCUCACUGGUGAUGUUACCUUGUAUGGUGACGAAACGUCUGAAAACGAACCUUCCAGCUCAGCGAGCAAACUCACAUCCAGAAUUCUGUUACUGUUGCAAAAAGAUCAUUAAGACUGAAAAGAAAUCUCAUUUUCACUUUCUGGAAAUGUAAUAUUUAGCCACAGUUACACCUAUUGCCUGUACUGGGAUGAGGUCAUUGAGGACCUGUACUUGAGUGUGCCUGAAUUAAACUAGACAGAAAAGAGUUAACCUACAGAUUUGCUUUCACAUUAUGCCUUUUAUGACCCAGAAUUUCAUCGAUCACUUUGCAAACAGUAGAGCAUUUUUGAAGUAUAAUCAAUGUAGCUAUGCAGAAACACACAGCUCUUAAUUUGCAUAUAGUAAAGUCUUGCAAAGAAUAAAUUGAAAUGAAUUUAGUUGAUCUAAUCUACUUAUGCUGGCCAAAGAAUCAACAUUGCAGGAGUUCGCAUUUCUUUGACUUGAAAAGUACCACAGGACUUUCUAAUAUAUCUGAACAAACCAAUGGAUAUUUGCUUAAAGUCUUUUCUGAAACUGUUAUUUUCAAUCAGAUGAAUAGGGCAGAAUAGGAAGUGUUUAUUAUUCCAAACUGUUUACACUACCUGCUCUGGACUUUAAUUUGACCAGAGUAUACAUUUAGGAUUGUCAUAUACUUGGAAUACAUAAAUAGACUCAAUGGCCAGAAAUUAUACCCAUAAACAGCAUCAGCACAUAACUUGACUGAAAGCAUAAAACCAAGAAAUCAACAAUGAUUAGUGAUCAAAAAAAUUACUGAUUAAAAUAAGCUGAAUCAAUUAUUAAAUAUCAAAAAUCAAAAAAAGUGAUUUGGACAUCAUCAUGAGUGUCACUGAAAUGAGAAGCAAAAAUACAAUUAACAUUACCAACAAAUUGUGCAUUUGAGUCACGUGUGUCUGAUUAUUCUUUCUUCAGAGCUUUUAGUGUUUCAGUUCAUACUUUUGACUACAAGAAAUUAAAGUAUCAUGCCUGUGAGCUCUGCCCCUUCAUCACUUGUGAUUUGAUUUUUAGUUAAAGUUAAAAUAACUGGAAUUAUACUUCUGGAUAAAAUAUUUGAUUACAUUGAAAUCUUCAAUGGCUAAUUUCCUCAAAAAAUGCUGCUUAGAUAUUACAGGGCAAACUAAGUAGUCCUGUUCUCCUAGUGGGGACAAUGCACUGACUUUAUCUUUGUGUUCAAUAGAUUAUUUAUUCAAAAAAUGCAACAUGUUAGCAUUGUGAAAAAUUUACUUGAUAUUCAUAUUGGGUGGCAACUGCACACAGAGGUCUCCUUAUUAAGUACAAACAUUUUUCCACAACGUUACAAAUAUUGCAUAUCUCAUGUGAGUACUGAAAUAACAUUUUAAUAUCCUAUGUUUCUUUAUCUGUAAUUGUAACAAUUUCAUUGAGUUAUAAAGACAUUGGUUAUUGUCCAGAACAAGGAUUUAAUAUCAGAAUUUCUGACUAGUGACAUUGGUGCUGCUAUUAUGGAGAGCCGGUUAAUGAAAUGAAGCUAUCCAGAAAUUUUAUGACUGGUUACCUGAUUAGUUCUCACCACGUAUAAUCUAUUGUGACCGCGUUGUUCAAUAUGCUGGAAUCUGAUUGGCAGACAAUAGUGAUAACAAGGGCCCCACUUUCAGUAACUGUGGAGCUGAAGACGGACCUGAAGGUUUUGCUUCAGGCACUUAACAGGCCACCUCAGGGAAUGUAUGCAAUGUCAAUCUGCAGCGCGCAGAUGCUUUAAGAAGGUCACUGAUUUCAUUGUUUACUGGGGUGAACACAUUGGUCAACUUGCUCUGGUAGAAACCUGUAAGUAAAUGAAAAUACCCUGAAAUUCAGCCAGAUUCAACUUACUGCCAGUGUUCAAAGCAUUAUUGAUGGCAGUCAUCUAAACUCAUACUCAGAGACCCAUGAUAGUUUUGCAAUUCAAAGAAAUCCACUCUAUCAACCUCCGACAAGCUAGUGAUCAACAAUACUAUACCACACACCUGCAGUUUUAUAUUCUUGCAAUCUUCUGCACCUUGUUACUUGAAGACUACUUGGAAAGAUGGAUUAUUGGAGGUAAACAUUAUACAAGCCAUCAAAACAGGAAGGUGAGCCAAGGUUUGAGUCAAUGUAACCAUAAGGGCAUCAUAAAACAUACCAUGGCAUCUUGAAACAGCAAUCCUUCUGCCUGGGAAGAUCAAUAAACAACAAUACUCGUUUCCAAACUCGUCAACAGAACGAGUUGCACACCAGGCUUGCAUGUAUGGAUUGAAAUAACUGCACAGAGGCCUGUGUUCCAUUACUAAGUCACACUUUACUUGUGCACAAUACAUGGGCUCUGUCCAGCCUGGAGCAGAUGGACUCCAACAAGCCCAAACGCUACCUACCAUGCCAGUGCCACCAUCUUGUAAAAACAUCUUGAAUUGAACCCACUCUGCUGGCAUUACUCUGCAUUGCAAACCAUCCAUCUAGCCAACUGAGCUAACCAACCCCUGACUUUAAUGCAUACUCCAGCUGAUUAAACAGUCUCUGAAGGGUCUAGGCCCGAAACGUCAGCUUUUGUGCUCCUAAGAUGCUGCUUGGCCCUCUGUGUUCAUCCAGCUCCACACUUUGUUAUCUCAGAUUCUCCAGCAUCUGCAGUUCCCAUUAUCUCUGAACUUAUAAUUUCACUGUCUCAACUAUCAUGGUGUCAUCCUUUUGGUCUAUUUUUUACCUUAAUCUGUAAAACAAAGAAGACAAGUUUUAUAAGAUUAUUGAAUCCACUUCUAAGUAUAUUACAUGUAACCUAUAGAAUCUACCCUUGUACUCCAUUUAGGUAUUGCCCUACUGGAGGAGAAUGUGACAAGUUGACUGCUGGACAUGAGUAGCAGCUUCUCUCACAUUUAAGCAUGGGUUACGGGAUAGCCUUUUUGCUGGCGUGGUCAUGUCCAAUGAUCUGGUGACUGACCAGAUCUCCUUUUGUCUUAUCCUCUCAUUUGUGUGACUGGUGUCUUUAAAAGGGUUUACAGUGCACUAAGCAACAAUUUCUUUCAUGCCCCUGCAGCUAAGCAAUUCCAUAUCAUGCCCGCUGAAUAUCAUGAGAAAAUACUUCAGACGUGAACGAUCGUGAGAGUCUGAACACUACAGCUAUGAAAAAGGUCAAGUAGGCUCCACCUCUUGGCAGCAGACUAAGGUACUUACACCAAAGAAUCUCUUGCACUCAGAAGCCCAUUACAGCAAAAAAGAUGUAGUUAUCCCACUCUUCAAGAUCGGGAUUGCAGAGACGUUGAUAAUGGAUUAAAGGAACACUUGGUAAACACCUUGAAGAGUGGAGCUUAAGCAGAGGCAGAAAUCAGUUGGACCAAACACUGCACAUUCUGUGUAAGUCCAUUUUUUUAAACCUCCAUAACUGGAUAUUUCAGACAAAUUAAAAUGAUGGCAGAGAUUAAUCAUGCUCAGAAAACAAUUCCCAUGUAGUUUGAACCAAUGGCCUCUGCACUUGAGUUGGCAUGUUACCUUCUUUAUGCUCUGCAAUAAUAUUUGAAUGAAUUAAUUGUUAAGGAAAGAUCCUAAACAGUCUACUCAUCUCUCAGUAUGGCUAAAUUUUAGGCAAGCUUACCAUAAAAAAUGUUAUGUGCCAUCAAAACUUCUCUUGCAUUUGCUCCAAUUUCUUAGAAUGCUUAGCAAAAGCCCAUAUAUACUGUUUCUGCACAGCUUAAACCAAUCUCCUUUGUUGUUGGUGUUGAUGUUAUGCAUUGGUUGUCAGGGAAGCCCUCCUUUCCUUCAGUUUAUGAAGUUGCAAUUUCACAGCUAUAUCAUUAACUGCUGGUGUUCUUAUUUACCUCUGCCUCUUUGAGCUUCUCCUUCUCUCCCCACUGAAUAACCCACCUCCAAAUGGAACUGUUUAUGUUAAAUUAGGACUGGGUACCGAACAGUUGGCUGUGAAUUAAAAAAUAUAGAUCCAUCAAAAAUCUGCCUCAAGAGUCUGAAUGUCAAUGUGUUUAAAAUAUUGAUUCUAACCAUAUUAUU